rnacentral:rRNA from 1 species
GACGAACGCUGGCGGCGUGCUUAACACAUGCAAGUCGAGCGGUAAGGCCCUUUCGGGGGUACACGAGCGGCGAACGGGUGAGUAACACGUGGGUGACCUGCCCUCAGCUCUGGGAUAAGCCUGGGAAACCGGGUCUAAUACCGGAUAUGACUCCAUGGCGCAUGUUGUGGGGUGGAAAGCCUUGUGCGGCUGAGGAUGGGCCCGCGGCCUAUCAGCUUGUUGGUGGGGUGAUGGCCUACCAAGGCGACGACGGGUAGCCGGCCUGAGAGGGCGACCGGCCACACUGGGACUGAGACACGGCCCAGACUCCUACGGGAGGCAGCAGUGGGGAAUCUUGCGCAAUGGGCGAAAGCCUGACGCAGCGACGCCGCGUGAGGGAUGAAGGGCUUUUGCUUGUAAACCUCUGUAGUGAGAAGAAAAAAUACCCGCUUUGCGGGACAUGAUGGUAUCUCAAAAGUAAAGCCCGGACUAACUAACGUGCCAGCAGCCGCCGUAAU